UCAGCCCUAAAUCAUGAUAUUUUAUACAACAUAAAUAUCCGCCAGAGAACUACGAGCUUAUAGCUUAAAACUCAAAGGACUUGGCGGUGUCCCACACCCUACUAGAGGAGCCUGUUCUAUAAACGAUAAUCCACGAUAAACCUUACCACCCUUUGCUAUUCAGCCUAUAUACCGCCGUCUCCAGCUUACCUUAUGAAAGCUAAAAAGUAAGCAAAAUAGCCCAUACAGCUAAAAAGUCAGGUCUAGGUGUAGCCAAUAGGAUGGAUGCAAUGGGCUACAUUUUCUAAAAUAGAAAUAUUCACGAACAGACCCUUGAAACAGGGACUAAGAAGAAGGAUUUAGCAGUAA
rnacentral:rRNA from 1 species